GAUGAACGCUGGCGGCGUGCCUAAUACAUGCAAGUCGAGCGAACAGACGAGGAGCUUGCUCCUCUGACGUUAGCGGCGGACGGGUGAGUAACACGUGGAUAACCUACCUAUAAGACUGGGAUAACUUCGGGAAACCGGAGCUAAUACCGGAUAAUAUAUUGAACCGCAUGGUUCAAUAGUGAAAGACGGUUUUGCUGUCACUUAUAGAUGGAUCCGCGCCGCAUUAGCUAGUUGGUAAGGUAACGGCUUACCAAGGCAACGAUGCGUAGCCGACCUGAGAGGGUGAUCGGCCACACUGGAACUGAGACACGGUCCAGACUCCUACGGGAGGCAGCAGUAGGGAAUAUUCCGCAAUGGGCGAAAGCCUGACGGAGCAACGCCGCGUGAGUGAUGAAGGUCUUCGGAUCGUAAAACUCUGUUAUUAGGGAAGAACAAAUGUGUAAGUAACUAUGCACGUCUUGACGGUACCUAAACAGAAAGCCCCGGCUAACUACGUG
rnacentral:rRNA from 1 species